rnacentral:tRNA from 1 species
GGGGUUGUGGCUUAGUGGUAGAGCGCUUGCCUAGCAUGUGUGAGGCACUGGGUUCAAUUCUCAGCACUGCUG